CGUCUCACAGAGGCGGAGUUGGAGGUGUUAAUGCACGCUUAUGAAGAGUUUAAGCCAAUAAUAUUAAAUAGAAGCAAUACAGCUGCAUCGGCUAAAGCAAGAGAGUUGGCUUGGCAAAAAAUAACGGACAGAGUAAAUGUGUGUAAUCCUUCAGGAGCCACAAGAACUUUAGCCCAAGUCAAAAUGAAACACAAAAACAUUCUGCAAAAAGCUAACAGAAAGAAGACUGAAGCCCAUCUAACUGGUGGGGGCCCACAACCACCUCCCCUCACCCCAUCUGAUCAGUGGUUGCUGGCAUUCCAGGGGGCAGUUCCUCGCACACACCAUGCACCACAAGUGAUGGUGAAAAAAUGGUGAAAUAUACUGAUGACGGACAGAUUGUAUUAUUGGACCCUCCAGAAAGAACACAGUCUGUCACAGUUGAUGAAGAUGAUGAAGAUGAUGAUGAAGAGACCACAUCUGCUGUGACAGAAGUGGACAAUGCUGGUAGAUCCACUGAGGUAUGAUGCAUACCAUUAUAAUGUAUGGCCCCUUUUGGCAUUACAAUUUUUUGCCCACACAUGAGGGUCCUUCAACCUCAGCACACAAUCUAAGCAGGUUGCCAGCAAAGGAGCUGUAUAAGGUCCAUCUUCAAAAACAAAUAAGAAAAAGUGACAUGGAGAUGGAGAUGGACCUUAUACAGCUUCAAGUGGAAGAGAAAAGGCUCCUCAUUAAAAAAGAAUUGAAUUACUGGACCAUCGCCUUAAGGAAAUAAAGAAAUAACCUGCCUGGCAAUUAAUAAAAGUAAUUUGGA